rnacentral:rRNA from 1 species
ACGAACGCUGGCGGCGUGCCUCAUCCAUGCAAGUAGCACGCUGAAGAGAGGAGCUUGCUCUUCUUGGAUGAGUUGCGAACGGGUGAGUAACGCGUAGGUAACCUGCCUUGUAGCGGGGGAUAACUAUUGGAAACGAUAGCUAAUACCGCAUAACAAUGGAUGACACAUGUCAUUUAUUUGAAAGGGGCAAUUGCUCCACUACAAGAUGGACCUGCGUUGUAUUAGCUAGUAGGUGAGGUAAUGGCUCACCUAGGCGACGAUACAUAGCCGACCUGAGAGGGUGAUCGGCCACACUGGGACUGAGACACGGCCCAGACUCCUACGGGAGGCAGCAGUAGGGAAUCUUCGGCAAUGGGGGCAACCCUGACCGAGCAACGCCGCGUGAGUGAAGAAGGUUUUCGGAUCGUAAAGCUCUGUUGUAAGUCAAGAACGGGUGUGAGAGUGGAAAGUUCACACUGUGACGGUAGCUUACCAGAAAGGGACGGCUAACUACGUG